CGCCUGAAGUCGCUUGAGGAAGAGAACGACAGACCAGAAGCGGGAAGCCGUGAUGUUGAUGUGUGAUGCGACCGGUCUGUCGCAACGUCGUGCCUGCAGGCUUACAGGUU
rnacentral:sRNA from 1 species